rnacentral:rRNA from 1 species
AUGCAAGUCGAACGGCAGCACGGAGAGCUUGCUCUCUGGUGGCGAGUGGCGAACGGGUGAGUAAUAUAUCGGAACGUGUCCAAUAAUGGGGGAUAACGAGUCGAAAGAUUCGCUAAUACCGCAUACGCCCUACGGGGGAAAGCGGGGGAUCGAAAGACCUCGCGCGAUUAGAGCGGCCGAUGCCUGAUUAGCUUGUUGGUGGGGUAAAAGCCCACCAAGGCGACGAUCAGUGGCUGGUCUGAGAGGACGAUCAGCCACACUGGGACUGAGACACGGCCCAGACUCCUACGGGAGGCAGCAGUGGGGAAUUUUGGACAAUGGGGGAAACCCUGAUCCAGCAAUGCCGCGUGAGUGAAGAAGGCCUUCGGGUUGUAAAGCUCUUUUGUCAGGGAAGAAACACCGGCUCUAACACAGUCCGGGAAUGACGGUACCUGAAGAAUAAGCACCGGCUAACUACGUGCCAGCAGCCGCGGUAAUACGUAGGGUGCGAGCGUUAAUCGGAAUUACUGGGCGUAAAGCGUGCGCAGGCGGUUAUACAAGACAGGCGUGAAAUCCCCGGGCUUAACCUGGGAAUGGCGCCUGUGACUGUAUAGCUAGAGUGUGUCAGAGGGGGGUAGAAUUCCACGUGUAGCAGUGAAAUGCGUAGAUAUGUGGAGGAAUACCAAUGGCGAAGGCAGCCCCCUGGGAUAACACUGACGCUCAUGCACGAAAGCGUGGGGAGCAAACAGGAUUAGAUACCCUGGUAGUCCACGCCCUAAACGAUGCUGACUAGUUGUUCGGGAUUUACAUCCUGAGUAACGUAGCUAACGCGUGAAGUCAGCCGCCUGGGGAGUACGGUCGCAAGAUUAAAACUCAAAGGAAUUGACGGGGACCCGCACAAGCGGUGGAUGAUGUGGAUUAAUUCGAUG